CCCUUUUCGCAACCGAUGUGGAAUUCAACACACCCCCUACGCUCAUAAUUUUUAAUUGUGCAUGACAUAUUUAUAGGAGGUCCAAUAUUGGAUGAGAGUCUCUAAUACCAUGAAAAAUUUUGGGUAAAUUUAGAGUAUUCUUGUAUUUCACUCUUAAUCUUUAUAAUUGGUCUACAUGACUAUUUAUACACAAAGAAUUAUAUUUAAACAGGAAGCAAAUUGUAAUAACCCGGAAACCGGACCGCUACCGGCGCUAGGAUCCAGAUCGACUUAAGAUCGCCGGGACCCGUAGUAAGCCUACUAUACAUCCUGUGUACCUGAUAAAAUCCUAUACAUGAUCAUACAUUUUCAUAAAAACUUUAAACUUUUCAUAUACCAAGCUUGACCUGUGCAUGCACCAUAACUGUAAACAUAAAAACCCCUUACUAGAGCUCUCAUCAAAUGCUCUAGUGGGUCAACAUAACAUACAUCAAGCUUGGUUCAACAUAACUCAUCAUUAAAACAUUUCAUAAAGAUCAUGUACCAAAAGGGAUUAACCAUACAUUAGGGCCAAACACAAUACUAAUCCUCAUUACAUUACUUUACAUUACAUUAUUUUACGUAUCAUGUCCACUACUAAGCUAUUACAUAACACAACCUUCAACCUUGACGACUUCUCGGUCUAUCCUGAACUUGCAAACCUGAGGGUUAUGGGAAAGGGGUGAGCUACUAAAGCCCAGUGAGCAGAACAGUAAAAACGAUUCAUUAAACAUAUGCCAUCAUGAAAUGCAUCUCAUCACAAAC
rnacentral:lncRNA from 1 species